rnacentral:rRNA from 1 species
CCUACGGGGGGCAGCAGUGGGGAAUAUUGCACAAUGGGGGGAACCCUGAUGCAGCGACGCCGCGUGAAGGAAGAAGUAUUUCGGUAUGUAAACUUCUAUCAGCAGGGAAGAAAAAGGACGGUACCUGACUAAGAAGCCCCGGCUAACUACGUGCCAGCAGCCGCGGUAAUACGUAGGGGGCGAGCGUUAUCCGGAUUUACUGGGUGUAAAGGGGGCGCAGACGGCCAUGGCAAGCCCGGUGUGAAAGGUGCGGGCACAACCCGCAGACUGCACUGGUAACUGCCUGGCUGGAGUGCCGGAGGGGG